ensembl:lncRNA
GUAAGACAGACUGUCUCCUUUAUCUAGCGGAUUUGGUGGAGGCCAAGUUAUAGUAGCAGAUGAGUCAUACAAAGCUGGUGAAAACUGGUGUUUCAGGAAGACAAAUUUAGUAAAAAUGGGCACGCAGGGGGGAAAUUCUGUGGAACACCAUCCUAUAAUGCCAGUAAGGGGCAGAUUCUUAAAAGUGCCACAUCAGGUUGGGCCACUUUGCCUGGACUGAACUUCUUUGCUGAUUUCGUCACAUUUCAAUGGUUAUUUCAAUUGUCCCGUGCCUAUUUCCCUUCCCUAACUCCCGCAGUGUUAUGUACCUACUCUUGGAAGCUCUCUAAUUCAUUGCUUCUAUUAGAGCACAUACCACGGUACACAGUACUUUAAAAGGAAGAAAAAUUUAUAAGACCUUUGACUGACAACCUACAAAAGCAAAAGCUGAGUAAGGAUACCAACACUUGAAUCCAAGGAUAAUGGAAAAAUAACAUCUGACUGGAAUAAAUGGAUCACAUAUAUAAGCCAUGCUACCAUGCUACUUAUGUGAACUGAAAUACGGAUAAGGAAGCAUAUCUGGUUCUAAUUUCUGAACUCAACACCAGAUGUUUUCAAGAUGGUGAGACUCUAAAGAAUGGAACUUACAAGGAACGGCCCUGCUCUGUGGGUGGAGAAAGGGAAGAAAUGACAUAA